rnacentral:rRNA from 1 species
UGCGAAGGCACUUUGUUGACUCUAGAGAACCUCGGGCCUAUCGCACGUCCCAGUGACAGUGACUUUGCAUUUGGAUGUCAUCCAUAUCAACUUUCGAUGUCAGUUUCUGCGCCUACCAUGGUGACCACAGGUAACGGGGAAUCAGGGUUGGAUUAUGGAGAGGGAAUCUGAGAAAUGGCUACCACAUGCAAGGAAGGCAGCAGGCGUGCAAAUGACCAACUCCCGACGCAAGAAGGUAGUGACA